rnacentral:rRNA from 1 species
UACGGGAGGCAGCAGUGGGGAAUAUUGCACAAUGGGCGCAAGCCUGAUGCAGCCAUGCCGCGUGUAUGAAGAAGGCCUUCGGGUUGUAAAGUACUUUCAGUCGUGAGGAAGGUGUUAAGGUUAAUAACCUUAGCAAUUGACGUUAGCGACAGAAGAAGCACCGGCUAACUCCGUGCCAGCAGCCGCGGUAAUACGGAGGGUGCGAGCGUUAAUCGGAAUUACUGGGCGUAAAGGGCACGCAGGCGGUUAAUUAAGUUGGAUGUGAAAUCCCGGGCUUAACCUGGGAAUGGCAUUCAAGACUGGUUAGCUAGAGUCUUGUAGAGGGGGUAGAAUUCCAUGUGUAGCGGUGAAAUGCGUAGAGAUGUGGAGGAAUACCGGGUGGCGAAGGCGGCCCCUGGGACAAAGACUGACGCUCAUGUGCGAAAGCGUGGGGAGCAAACAGGAUUAGAUACC